UUAAGUGGACGCCUUUUGCAGCUGGUCUGACAAACGAGCCUAAUCCCCUCCUGGAAACUGCUACAAAGUGAUAGUGUCAACUCAGGGGCGUGUCGGAGUGUCCACAUCUUGAACCCCAAAGUCCCUCUUUCCUGAGUUCGGCACUGCGACAACAUCACCUGUGUAGGGUUCUCGCUCCACAGCUUUCACUGCCUGGCACUGGUAGUCUGGGAAGGUUCUCAGUGGGCAAAACUUUCCAGAGCCCUCAGCACAUGUAAACAUGCCGUUUUCAUAGACCAGACGCCCACGGCUGAUGGUGACCAGGGGCACACCGUGACAACGAAGACCCUCAUACAGGUGUCCUAUUUCUGGACGUUCUCUGGCAGCCAGACAGGAACAAAAGAGCUACACAUACCACUCCUUUCUCCCAGAUGACGCUC